AACGAACGCUGGCGGCAGGCCUAACACAUGCAAGUCGAACGCCCUAGCAAUAGGGGGUGGCAGACGGGUGAGUAACACGUGGGAACCUUCCCUAUAGUACGGAAUAGCCCAGGGAAACUUGGAGUAAUACCGUAUACGCCCGAGAGGGGAAAGAUUUAUCGCUAUAGGAUGGGCCCGCGUCGGAUUAGCUAGUUGGUGAGGUAAUGGCUCACCAAGGCAACGAUCCGUAGCUGGUUUGAGAGAACGACCAGCCACACUGGGACUGAGACACGGCCCAGACUCCUACGGGAGGCAGCAGUGAGGAAUAUUGGACAAUGGGCGCAAGCCUGAUCCAGCCAUGCCGCGUGAGUGAUGAAGGCCUUAGGGUUGUAAAGCUCUUUUAGCAGGGAAGAUAAUGACUGUACCUGCAGAAUAAGCUCCGGCUAACUUCGUGCCAGCCGCCGCAGUAAAAC
rnacentral:rRNA from 1 species